CAGCAUUAAAACACUCCUGGAAUGUAUUUAUUUGAGGAGUAGCAGGAAGAAGAAAGAGAAGGAAGCAGGCUAGGCGUGGUGGCUCAUGCCUGUAAUCUCAGCACUUUGGGAGGCCGAGGCAGGCAGAUCACGAAGUCAAGAGAUCAAGACCAUCCUGGCCAACAUGGUGAAACUCCAUCUCUGCUAAAAAUACAAAAAUUAGCCGGGCGUGGUGGCGCGCGCCUGUAAUCCCAGCUACUCAGGAGGCUGAGGCAGGAGAAUUGCUUGAACUCUGGAGGCGGAAGUUGCAUUGAGCCAAGAUUGCACCACUGCACUCCAGCCUGGGUGACAGAGCGAGACUCCAUCUCAAAAAAAAAAAAGAAAAAAAAGAGAAAAAAGAAAGAAAGAGAAGAAGCAGAGGAGAAGAGGGAAGAGGAGAAGAAACCAACUAUUCUAUAGAAACAAAAUGAAAUCUAAAAUUCUAUGCAAACUUUAAAAAAUAACUUACCUAGUACAGCUGACUCCUGGUUCAAUAGUGAGGAAAUAUUGGUUGGAGAAUUCAGUGAUAAAGAAUCAUGUGAAUUGUAAUAAGAGAAGAGGGAUGUAGAGGAUGUUGGCAACAGAGAAGAAGGAAAAACAGUUCCAUCUUGCUUCUCAGGUAAAUCAAGAGACAUCUUAGAACUGGUACCACUUGGAGGCCAUGAUGAAAAAUAAGGAUUUUCCACUAAAGGAAAUUUUCAGUGCAGCCCUAUGCACACCUGACGCUCUCAAUUUAGUUGUGACAAUAGAUA
rnacentral:lncRNA from 10 species